rnacentral:rRNA from 1 species
GUGAGGAAUAUUGCGCAAUGGAGGCAACUCUGACGCAGCCAUGCCGCGUGCAGGAAGAAGGCGCUACGCGUUGUAAACUGCUUUUAACCGGGAAGAAACCCCAGGACGUGUCCUGGGUUGACGGUACCGGAGGAAUAAGCACCGGCUAACUUCGUGCCAGCAGCCGCGGUAAUACGAAGGGUGCAAGCGUUAUCCGGAUUCAUUGGGUUUAAAGGGUGCGUAGGCGGAGCGUUAAGUCAGUGGUGAAAUCCUGCAGCUUAACUGUAGACUUGCCAUUGAUACUGGCGCUCUUGAGUGCGCUUGAAGUGGGCGGAAUGUGCCGUGUAGCGGUGAAAUGCUUAGAUAUGGCACAGAACACCAAUUGCGAAGGCAGCUCACUAAGGCGAUACUGACGCUGAGGCACGAAAGCGUGGGGAUCAAACAGGAUUAGAUACCCUGGUAGUCC